rnacentral:misc_RNA from 1 species
GAGUUAUCCUCGGCAGUCCCUCUAGAGUGCCCAACUUAAUACUGGCAACUAAAGGCAAGGGUUGCGCUCGUUGCGGGACUUAACCCAACAUCUCACGACACGAGCUGACGACAACCAUGCACCACCUGUCACCACUGUCCCCGAAGGGAAGUCUCCGAUUAGGGAGAGGUCAAUGGGAUGUCAAGCUUAGGUAAGGUUCUUCGCGUUGCUUCGAAUUAAACCACAUGCUCCACCGCUUGUGCAGGCCCCCGUCAAUUCCUUUGAGUUUUAGCCUUGCGGCCGUACUUCCCAGGCGGGGUGCUUAAUGCGUUAGCUGCGGCACCGCAGGGGUCAAAGCCCGCGACACCUAGCACCCAUCGUUUACGGCGUGGACUAC